CAGUCGGGAUACACGGCUAUGCUGGGGAAUUCGCCACACAUCAGUCAGCCAGGCUCCUUCUCUGCGAUAAACCCACAAGACAGAAUGAACUAUCCCUUGCAUGGAGCGGACGUGAAUGGUUUCCAUUCGGGCUCCGCGGCUUAUAGCCACACAUCCUCCAUGAAUGGAUCCAACAGCAUUUUGGCAAGCAGAGGUUCAGUCACAAGCAGCUCAGGUGAUGAGAUCGGAAAAGCUCUUGCUUCG